rnacentral:rRNA from 1 species
GCAAGUCGAGGGGUAAAAGGAGUGCUUGCACUCGCUGACGACCGGCGCACGGGUGCGAAACGCGUAUAGAACCUCCUUUUACAGAGGAAUAGCCUUUAGAAAUGAAGAUUAAUCCUCAUGGAAUUGAGUUUUGGCAUCAGAACUUAAUUAAAGAUUUAUCGGUAAAAGAUGGCUAUGCGUCCCAUUAGCUAGAUGGUAAGGUAACGGCUUACCAUGGCGAUGAUAGUUAGGGGUCCUGAGAGGGAGAUC